rnacentral:rRNA from 1 species
AUGUAUAGACCAGCCGCUUUGUCACAAGCAUGGCAGCCUGCUCAACUAUCUCCACUGCCUGCAUACAGCUGUUUCAGAACAGCGCCGACCAACCCAGAGUUUGGUUGUAGAAGAACGAAACGAAGCACACAUCAGGAAGUCAUGCUCUUUCCAACAACAACAGCAAAAGCGCAUAUAAGAGAACUUGAGGAAGAAGUGAAGCUCCUCAAGAACCUUUCGCACCCCAAUAUUGUGAGGUACCUCGGGACUGUCCGUGAGGAAGACACACUGAAUAUCCUGCUGGAGUUUGUUCCUGGAGGGUCUAUCCAGUCGCUUCUUGGAAAACUCGGUUCAUUCCCGGAGGCAGUCGUUAGGAAGUAUACUAGGCAGAUUUUGCAAGGGUUGGAAUAUCUGCAUAGCAAUGCAAUAAUACAUAGAGACAUUAAGGGUGCAAACAUUCUUGUUGAUAACAAAGGCUGCAUUAAGCUUGCCAAUUUUGGGGCAUCUAAGCGUGGUGUUCUUCCUUCAAUAAAUUGGCAGAUGCUUGCUUUUGUUAAUUAA